UACAGAGGGGGCAAGCGUUGUUCGGAAUUACUGGGCGUAAAGGGCGCGUAGGCGGCCUGUUAAGUCGAACGUGAAAUCCCCAGGCUCAACCUGGGAACUGCGUCCGAUACUGGCAGGCUUGAAUCCGGGAGAGGGAUGUGGAAUUCCAGGUGUAGCGGUGAAAUGCGUAGAUAUCGGGAGGAACACCAGUGGCGAAGGCGGCUUUCUGGGCCUUACCUGACGCUGAGACGCGAAAGCGUGGGGAGCGAACCGG
rnacentral:rRNA from 1 species